AAUUUUAAAAGUCUCCAUCUUGGUCUAGCACCCAAAAAUUGUGCACACCCACACUACACGGGCAUGCGCUAGUCAAUGACAAAUCAGAAAUAACUAACUGCCCACCUGGGCUGUCCUAAGCCAAGCUAGAGCCAACCAUUGGAUUUGUGAGACACAGGAAGUGAGGUAGGGAACAGCCUCUGGAAUUCGCUCACUUCCUGUGGAGAGAGCUAGAGGGGGUUGGUGUUAGGAGCUUGGAGAGGGAGGAUGCCUGCAGACAGCUUUCCUUCAGAUGGGUCACGAACCACUCUCUGAGAAGUGACCUUCUCCUUCAUCUUAACUGCUUUCUGUCAUCUUUCCAUCUUCUGCUCCUGGAACUUGGCUCCACAGAAGAAAAUUCAUCCCUGGCCACCCUCUCCAGGUUGAUAGUCAAAGAAUUCAUCAUCAUGUGAUCAGCCCACUUUUGGUGAACCUUCCUGUUGGCCCUCAGAAAGUAGACACAGGUUGUUGCCAAGGCUAUCCUCAAUUCCUUCCAGCUUGGUAAAAUAUUCCAAAACUUUUUUUCUGCUAGCAGAACCAUGAUCAUCUCGAUGCUACAAUAAGGUAUCAGAGUAUAAGACUUGUGGAGAAUUUUAUUGUUUUGUUGGCUUUUGUCUGUUUUUAAGUAUAAGUUUUAAUGAAAAGGCAAAAAGUAGAAAUUUUCUCCUUAUUUCAAUUCUGAGUAUAUUUUGAAAGUCAUCCUUUAUAGAAAAUAUAUUUUUCCAGUUUAAUUCAUUUCUCAGUGACAAGAUAAUAUAUGUGUAUACACAUUUAGAAGUGAUAAAAGGGAUGAUAUCUUGAAAUCUACAAUGAUACAAAAUGUAAUGCUAUCCAAUUCUUGAUUGAAAUAUCAAAUUAAAGAUUUCUGUGUAAAUAUACCUUGGUAUAACUUGAAUAUAA
rnacentral:lncRNA from 1 species